GAACAAGAACUUUAUUUAUAUUAUUAGAAAUAGAAAUCUAAACAUUGUAUUUUACAUCACAACAACAAAGGGCUUAUAUAGAAUAUGAAACAACACAAAAGGCCUUUUCGUUUUAUUAUCUCUGCGUCAGAGAAUUAAGCCUUCAAUGACGGGAUACACAACACAGGUGAAGCACGGGAUAACUGAUUUCACAGACGUUGCGGCAGCCAACCGCGAAUAAAAUGGACGCGGAAUAAAUCAGCGGCGUCUAAUUUUUUUUGUCUCCGGCAAUCUAUUAGCGGCAACUUUAGCUUUGGUCACUGUUAUUUAUGUCUCCGUCACCAUAUAUUUUGUUGCCGCUACCUACCGCUUGGAAGUUGCGAUUAUAAAACAAACAGGCCUAAAGUGAACACUUGCAU
rnacentral:lncRNA from 1 species